UACGUAGGGCGCAAGCGUUAUCCGGAAUUAUUGGGCGUAAAGAGCUCGUAGGCGGUUUGUCGCGUCUGCCGUGAAAGUCCGGGGCUCAACUCCGGAUCUGCGGUGGGUACGGGCAGACUAGAGUGAUGUAGGGGAGACUGGAAUUCCUGGUGUAGCGGUGGAAUGCGCAGGAUAUCAGGAGGAACACCGGUGGCGAAGGCGGGUCUCUGGGCAACAACUGACGCUGAGGAGCGAAAGCGUGGGGAGCGAACAGG
rnacentral:rRNA from 1 species